rnacentral:rRNA from 1 species
AACAACUCACCUGCCGAAUGGAUUAGCCCUGAAAAUGGAUGGCGCUGAAGCGGGCAGCCGAUACCACGCCGUCUGUUUUAGUGAAUGGAACAGAUGAGUAGGAGGGCGUGGAGGUCGUAUCGAAGCAUGCGUGCGAACGUGUGUGGAACGGCCUCUAGUGCAGAUCUUGGUGGUAGUAGCAAAUAUUCAAGCGAGAUCCUUGAAGGGCGAAGCGGGGAAGGGUUCCACGCGAACAUUGAUUGGGCGUGGGUGAGUCGUUCCUAAGCCGCGUGGUAAUAGCUAUCAAACGGCGAAAGGGAAGCGGGUUGAAAUUCCCGCACACGGAUGUGGAGGCGGCGACGCUUUAUUGAGAUGAGCCCGUCGGCGGUUGCACUGGGCAGAGAUGUCUUUUCUGUUUAACCAGCUCGCGCGCUGUGUGGAAUCCGAUUAUCGGGAGAAAAACGCGUACCGGGUAAGAGCGCCGGGACUUUUCCGGCGUCCAGCUCGCGACCGACGGCCCUUGAAAACUUAUCUACUGCAAUAAAAUCCACGCCGUGGCGUACCGAUAACCGCAUCAGGUCCCCAAGGUGAACAGCCUCUGCCUAAUAUGAACAAU